rnacentral:rRNA from 1 species
ACGGCUCAGUAACACGUGGAUAACCUACCCUUAGGACCGGGAUAACCUUGGGAAACUGAGGAUAAUACUGGAUAGGCAAUUAUUCCUGCAAUGGUUUUUUGUUUAAAUGUUUUUUCGCCUAAGGAUGGGUCUGCGGCCGAUUAGGUAGUUGGUUAGGUAACGGCUUACCAAGCCAUUGAUCGGUACGGGUUGUGAGAGCAAGAGCCCGGAGAUGGAACCUGAGACAAGGUUCCAGGCCCUACGGGGUGCAGCAGGCGCGAAACCUCCGCAAUGUGAGAAAUCGCGACGGGGGGAUCCCAAGUGCCAUUCUUAACGGGAUGGCUUUUCAUUAGUGUAAAGAGCUUUUGGAAUAAGGGCUGGGCAAGACCGGUGCCAGCCGCCGCGGUAACACCGGCAGCUCUAGUGGUAGCAGUUUUUAUUGGGCCUAAAGCGUCCGUAGCCGGUUUAAUAAGUCUCUGGUGAAAUCCUGUAGCUUAACUGUGGGAAUUGCUGGAGAUACUAUUAGACUUGAGACCGGGAGAGGUUAGAGGUACUCCCAGGGUAGAGGUGAAAUUCUGUAAUCCUGGGAGGACCGCCUGUUGCGAAGGCGUCUAACUGGAACGGUUCUGACGGUGAGGGACGAAAGUUAGGGGCGCGAACCGGAUUAGAUACCCGGGUAGUCCUAACCGUAAACGAUGCGGACUUGGUGUUGGGGUGGCUUUGAGCUGCUCCAGUGCCGAAGGGAAGCUGUUAAGUCCGCCGCCUGGGAAGUACGGUCGCAAGACUGAAACUUAAAGGAAUUGGCGGGGGG